rnacentral:lncRNA from 1 species
CUUGAACGAGCUCUCUAAGUUUAAUUUAAUUAAAAGCAUACAAUUGAAAGAGGUAAUAAUUGUAUCAAGCGCAAAUAUACAAGCUCAGUUUUCAAACUUGAGUGAAUCCAUUUACAAUCAAAUAAAAAUAUCCCUCAAGUCUCUUGAUGUGCAAUUGCUACUUAUAUUUGGAAAAAUUCAGCGAUUACAGACUAUGAUAUCUAUAUUAGCAUGAAAUGAAUCGACAUAAUCACUUAAUUGUACACCUAAAUAAUUCAAAAGGUCAAAACAACAAUUCACUGAAUGGAUUAAACACAUAAUCAAGAGGCAUUUACCCAAGGAUACGAACUAUCCAAAAUAAAAUUAAUGCAGAAAGCAAUGAAAAAGGAAAAGAAAAGAAGCUUAAGGGAGACGAUUGGUGCUAGUUCUCACAUCCAAUGGAGUUACCAUCGAGCUCUAAACUUUUCCUUCUCUUCUUCUGUUCCUAGUUAUGAAAAAUUCUUGUGACCUUGGUCCUGAAAGUUCCUGUUAUCUUGGUUCUGAUCUUAGAUUUUAUCCUGAAGUUCUGUAAAUUUCAGUCUUCGUGUGAUCCUAUGGGAUUUUCAGAAUUCGUUUGAUCCUUAAGUUCUGUAAAUUUUAGUCGUCUUCUAAUCUUGGAGUUCUGUAUAUUCCUGGAGUCCUAUAAAUUUCAGGAUGAAGCUACAGCAACAGAGGCGGUGACAUAAGACUUGACUGAAUACACACAUACACAAGAGAUCAGCAUUUUUUUUAUUCAAAUAGGCCCCGUGGCAAUGUGAAUGAAUGUCACCCCAUCGGUCAAACAUUUUUGCGUACUUCAACAAAAUUCUAAAUUUCAAGCUCCUCUUUCUAUAAAUCCCUUUCUUUUAAAAAGAGAUUUUUGAAUUCAUAACCGAAUUUCACAUUUUUGUUUUGGGAUUUACAUCCUUUUGAACAAAGGCCAAGAAAGUAUGUUGCUUUUUCAUUAGGUUCACAGACUCCACUUGUUUUAAAAUUAUUGCUGUCCAUCUUCUUUUUAUUCCUUUGCAAAGACUCCAAAUAUUUCCAAAUUGCUUCUUUUUAUUGCCUUGCACCAUAAUUCCCACAAAAUGUUAAAGAAAGCUAAUAAAGAAUUAUUAUAUAGGAAAAAAAGUUGAAUAAAAUAUUGAGGAAAACAAAAAUAAAAACAUUUCAAACUCAACACUUAUCAAUCCCUAAUUUAUAAGUCUAUUAUUAUAAUAAAAUUACACACUUGAAUUUUGACUCUAACUGUCUCCUCAUUUUUGUUUUUAUCUAUAAUUUUUGAACACCAAAUAUAUUACUAUAUAAAAUAUAUGUUUCAUUAUAUCUUUACUACAAUAUUAUUAAGCCACUGUUCAAUGAAUCAAAAUCAACAAUUAAUUUUAAUCACAUAUUUUAUGAGAUCCACAACUUUUCAAUCACACAUUUUACCAGUUUUUAUCAAAAUUUACUAAAAUUUUGAUUUUAAUUCACACCAAAAGCUAAAUAUAUAUUUAUAGUAUGUAUUGUAUUUACCUCAAAGCCCCAAAAUUGAAGGGUAAUUUUACAUUUAUGAAAUUCAAGACAAAAUUCGAGAGAGAGAAAAAAUCCCAAACGUCAUAUUAGUUGGUCAUUCCACCCCAUUGUCAUCUCCCAAGAUAAUGUUAAAUGCAAGCUCUUAAAAUAGCAGAUAUAUACAUUUAUACAAACAAGACUAAUUAAAGACAAUGAGAUAUGAGUAGUAAAUGAAUAGGAAAUAAUCAGACAGAAAUUUCAAACCAAUAAAAAUGUACUGCCAACAAGAACAUCUGCCUAGUACAAGUGUCACACUAGAAGCAGUCUUGUUACAAGAUGGAUGAAGUUCUAGAAAUGGCUCUUUUCCCCAUUCAAGAACUUGCACGAUCAGUAAAGAUGAUAGUUAUAAAAUAAAGCACAGGACAGAAAAAAAGACGUUCCAUUCCGUAACGAUUUACAUAAUAGUUUACGUACACGUGACUUAAUAAGAUAUGAUUAGAUCAUAAUUUCUUCAACCAAAAAAAAAAAAAAAAGAAAGCAAAUUUCUUCACUCUAUUUUUUAUACCUCGUCUAUAUAUAAAUUAUUAUAUAACUCCAUUAUAUACAAAUAACAUUAUUCAUGAAAAACAAUCUCAAAACACCUCGAUUCUAAAUCACAAUUCAGCAUGACUUCCAAAACAAAACAAAAUUAAAACUGAAACCAAAUCACAGUAGUUGGCUCUGACCAUGAUAUUUGGAAUGCAACUAUAAACAUACACUUCAAUAUGCAAUAUCACAUCAAGUCUAGAAGCUACUCAACCCUUGUUUGAGCCCCAUUUUGGAGAAAAAAAAUGAAUUUUUGAAUAGUGUAUUGAUAAGAAAUGUGCGGUUAAAAAAUAAGAAAAAAUUUUGAAUUUGCGUGUAAUAUUAUUUUUAUUGAAAAAUAUGUAAUUGAAAUGAUGUCAAAACACUCUUGAAAAAUUCAUUUUCUUCAAAGAAUGGGGCUCAAACAAGAAGAAAUUCAACAGGUCAUAUUUAAAUUGUGGUAUAGCACACUAUUUGACCCUUUUGGAAUUGCUUCGCUGUAACAAGUGCAGAUCCUACAUGCAAUUCACAUAUACACAUAAUAUUAAUGUUAUUAGGCAUGGUAGAUCACAUGUAUAGCUGCGACAAAUUAUGACAAAAACUUUCAAGGAAAAAGAAAAUUUACCACAAGGUUCUAUUUAUUUGGUCCAAAUUUGAUUAAGCUUUCAACACAAACAAGUAAGAGAAAAAAUCCCAAGAACAGAACAAACAGGAGAACAUAGAAUUCCUCUUCAUGAGGUGCCUGAAAAGACUUGCACAGACCUUUCAAAGAUGUUCAAUGGGCACGACCAGAUACGAAACUGGAAAACACAUGCAGACACCAACUCAGCACUGUAUAAGUAGUGAAAGUUGAAUCAAACAAUUCUUACCUGCUAGGCACAAUUUGCUUACCAAAAGAAAUUCGUUAAGAGUUGACUGCUCUACCAUUUCCCCAUCCCAAUGCAACUCGAAGAAAAUAAUCCUCACAGCCAAUAAAGUAUUUGCUUAAAGUACAGUAACCAAUUGAAAUUUAUGUGGAAGUUCAGUGACCACGAAUGAGAUUUAUACUUUCUCCAAUACUAUGCACGCACAGUAAUGCAAAGAAAACAGAUAUGGACACUGUUGGAAGAAAGAGGGGUUUACUAACUUGGACUGGUUAAGACUUCUAAAGAGGACAACACUAAUAGGAAGAAGGAAGUGAAUAAAAGGAAACUUGUAUUUCUCAAGGCUUGUUACAAAAUGGAGGACCCUACCAUUUUAUGUAGUGUUUACAUGGAACUUCUAGUUCAUACAAUUUUCUAGAGACUCCUAGACCACAUAUUUACAUGAGAUUUUAGACCACACAUUUGGACAAAAUAUUUUCCUAGAAUACUCUAAAUAGAUUUUAUAAGACCACAUAAUUUUCUUGACGCAUCACCACAUAUUUCACUUAAAUAUUUAUAUAGAUUUUUCUAGACAAUGUUUCUAGAAAUGCUAGGCAUAUUUGACUUUUUGAUUAAUUUGGGCCUAUGAGCAAAAUCCUUGAACUCAUAUUAUUUAGUCCACAAAUCAAGUUUACUACUCAACAUCCCCCCUUGAACUUAAUUUUGCUAUUCCAAGUAGAGUUCUUAACUUGUGGAACACGUCAUACUUGAGUGGCUUAGUGAGAAUGUCGACGAUCAGCUCCUAAGAGGUUACAUAUUUCAGCUAUACUUCUUUCUUUGCAAUGCUUUCUCUUAUGAAGUGAGAUCUUGUAUCAAUGUACUUGCUUUUAUCGUGGAACACUGGGUUCUUUGCCAAUGCCGAUUUAUUAUCAACAUGAAUUUCAUUCGAUUCUUCUUGUGAGACUCCAAGUGUCUUCAACAAAUUUUUAAGCCAAAUUGCAUGACAAACCCUUAAUGUAGUUGCUACAUAUUCAGCUUCAUAUGUAGAUAGCACUACAAUCGAUUACUUCUUCAAGCUUCAAGUGAAAGCUGUGUCGCCCAAGUAAAACACAUACCCAGUCGUAAUCUUUCUAUCAUCAUUGUCUCCACCCCAAUCAUUGUCACUAUAUCCAACAAAUUUGAAUUCAUCAUAUGAUUAAUAGAUUAAGCCAUAAUCAAACGUACCUUUGAUGUAACGAAGAAUCCUCUUUGCAGCUUUCAUAUGGGUCAUGGUAGGUGACUCCAUAUAGUGACUGAUGAGCCUAACUCCAAAAAGAAUAUCUGAUCUUGUGCACAUCAAGUAUCUUAGACUUUCAACCAUACUUUAAAAGUGUGGGUUUACUUUUUCACAUUCAUCAUUUUUCGAAAACUUGGUUCCAUAUUCAACCGGGAUGCAUACAGGCUUACAAUCCCUUAUAAUGAAUUUCUUUUGCAUACUUUGCUUGUAAGAUAAAGAUACGAUCCUCCAUUUGCUUUACCUCAAUCUCAAGAUAGUAAUCCAUGAGGCCGAUAUCCAUCAUCUCGAAUUCUUGAGCUUGGCCUUUUUAAACUCAUUGAUCAUACUUUGAUUAUUUCCUAUGACUAUAAGAUCAUCUACAUACAAACAAACAAACAAAAUAUCUCCUUUCUCAUUUACUUUUGUGUAAAGAGCAUACUCGUAAGGGUAUUCCAUGAAGUCAUUUUCUUGAAUGUACUUGUCAAUUCUACUAUUCCAUGCCCUUGGAGUUUGUUUCAAUCCAUAUAAAGCCAUUUUUAGUUUUAAGACUUUUCCUUCAUGUCUUUUUAUUUUAUGGUCAAUUGGUUGCUCCACAUAAAUUUCUUCUUCGAGAUAACCAUUUCGAAAAGCUCGUUUCACAUCCCUUUGAAAUAUUUUCCACUUAUUUUGCGCUGAAAGAGAGAAUUAAUUUUAUGGUUUCUAAACAAGCAAUAGGUGCAGGAGCAAAUACCUCUUCAUAAUCGAUUCCUGACCGUUGAUUGUAUCCUUUAGCAACCAAUCUUGAUUUAUAUCUCUCCACUUCUCCUUUAGCAUUUUUCUUUGCCUUGUACACUCACUUAACUCCAAUUGCUCUCUUUCCUUUGGGAAGAGUCAUCACCACCCACGUGUCAUUUUCUCAAUAGCCUUAACUUCUUCAUCCAUGGAAUCUCUCCAUCUUUUAUUUUACUCCGCUUCUUCAUACCCUAUUGGCUCACAAUCGACAAAAAGAUAAACGAAUAAGAUCAUUUUGAUUUUCUGUUACCUCAUAUAACUCUUGUAGACUCCUCAUUCGUGGUGUUCUUUUGCUUGAGCUUUCUCCUUUCGAAGAUGAUGAUGAAGCACCUCCAUGAGUAGGUGAUGGAGGUAGACUUAUAAGCUCUUAUUGCUCUCCAUUCUCUUGUUUUUUUUCCUCAAAAAAAGGCAAGAAGUCAUAGUCUUUUUCUUGGAUAUCCUAAUCCCAAGCUCCUUCUUCAUCAAACUCGACAUCUAUACCUAUGUUGAUCUUUUCCUUGCUUGGAUUAUACAACUUAUAGCCUUUAGAGCGAGAGUCAUAGCCAAUAAAAACAUACUUGUCACUUUUGUCAUCUAACUUGAACCGCCUUUGAUCUCAUACAUGACCAUAUGCAAUGCUCCCAAAUACUCGUAGGUGAGAGAUGCUAAGCUUUCUUUCACUCCAUGCUUCUUGAGGUAUCUUAUUCUACAUACUUCUAGAAGGCAAUUGAUUAGACAGAUACAUGGCUUAAUUAACAGCUACGGCCCAAAGUUCUUUGGGCAAUCUCUUACUUUUGAACAUGCAGCGAACCAUGAUAAGAAUUAAUCUAUUCUUUCUUUCGGCUACUCCAUUUUGUUGUGCAGAGUAUGGAACCAUUAAUGAGCGACGAAUUCCAUUCUCUUCACAAUAUUUCUCAAACUCUUUGGAGGUGAAUUCUCCUCUUCUAUCCAAUCUCAUGGCUUUUAUGCUAUAACCACUUUAUUUUUCAACAAGAGUUUUAAAACUUUUGAAAGUUCUAAAAACUUUCAAUUUUUUUUUUUGAGAAAAUGGACCCAAAACUUUCUACUAAAAUCAUCAAUAAAAAGAACAAAGUAAUUGUCUUACCAAGAGAGGUUGAAUUGAUUGAACUACAAACAUCCAAGUAUACAACUUCUAGCGGCUUCUUAACUCUUGUUGAUACUUAUUCUGGAAAACUUUUUUCCUCGAAUGCUUUCCAAGUAAGAAUCCUUCACAUAAUUGAUCCGCAUGAUAUAUUAAUGGCAAACUCUUCACCAUCUUCUUAUUACUCAACAAUUUUAAACCUCCAAAAUUAAGAUGCCCAAAUCUCAAGUGCCAAAGCCAAAAUGAAUCUUUAAAACAAGCUUUUAUGCAUUUAGCAACAUCAUUUUGAUUAAUGCUUAACGCAAACAUUCUAUUUUUUGUCAUAUGGACUUUGACAAUCGAAUUUUCUCUUUGAUCUCUUAUUAAAGACUAUGAUCUUUCAAAUGAAUACCAUAGUCUUUCUCUAAGAGUUGUCCCAAACUUAAUAUGUUAUUCAUAUUGGGCACACAAUAGACAUUUGAGAUAAAUUGAUACGUACCAUUCUUUAAGCGAAUCAAAAUUUACCUUUUCCUUUUACUGGGAUCUUGGAUCUAUCUCCAAAGGCAAUGCUGACGCUUACUGAUUCAUCAAGCUCUAUGAACAUGUUUUUUCUUUCACACAUAUGGUUGCUUACUCCUGUAUACAAAUAUCAAGUGUUUUUUUCUUUGCUUUUUUCACCUUUGUAAGCCAACAGUAGAGCGUGAUCCAUUCACUUUCCUAACUAGCAUAAUUGGCUUUCUCCUCAAACUUGGUUAGUAAUAUUUCUAUAUUCUGAAGCAUAAUGACCAAGUUUUUGAUAAUUGUAACAUUUAAUUUGAGAUUUGUUAUCCUUAGCCCUUCAUUUUGCCUCGUAUCUUUUCCUCUUUCACGACCUCUGGUGGAAAAUGAGCUUUGUUUUCUUUCCUCUUUUUAGAAUGCACUUCUUCCUCGAUCUUAGCCUCGUCCUCUUCCUUUUUGGCUUCUUCUAUUGUCAAACCUUCCUUCACCCUCGUUCAAAGUGAGCUUUGUUUGAAAAAGCUUGCUCUAAUGGCUCUUUUCACCUUCUUCUUUAGUCUUUCCUCGUGGACAUAAAAAGAUCCCACGAGUUGAUCGAUACUCAUACUAUCUAGAUCUUUAAAUUCCUCAAUGACUACAACUAUGUAGUCAAAUUUUGAAUCUGAAGACCUAAGCAUCUUCUCAAUUACUCGAGCGCCGUUCAACUUUUCUCCAUUCCUCUUUAAUUGAUUCACAAUGGCCAAUACUCUAGAGAAGUAAUAAGAAAUUAAUUCCGAUUCUUUCAUAUGUAAAGCUUCAAACUCACUUUGAAGUGUUUGGAGUCAAACCUUUUUCACCUUCUCAACUCCUUUGUGGAAGUUUUGCAAGAUUUCUCAUGCUUCCUUACUCACAAUAGCACAAGCUACUUUCUCGAACAUGCCUUCAUCUAAGGCUUGAUAUAUGAGGGUAAGCACCUUCUUGUCCUACUUCCUUACAUCCUUCAAACUAACCCUUUCUGCUUGGGAUAGAGCGACCUCGUCAUGUGGUGUCGUGUAGCCUUUACCUACAAUCUCUCAUGCAUCUUGUGACAUGAGCAACGCCUUCAUCCUUAUACUCCAAUGUCGUAAUUAUCCUUUUUGAGUUAGGGAACUUUAAUAAGAAUCAUCCCACUUGUCACUUUUCACAAGAACCUUAGGGCUUUGUUACCAGUUUGGAGGAAAGAGGAGUGUACUAAUUUGGAUUCGCUAAGACUUUUAAGGAGGACAAGACUAAUAGAAAGAAGGAAGUGAACAAAAGGAAACUUGUAUUUUUCAACUUUAAAACUUGCACACUUGACUUGUUACAAAAUGGAGGACCCUACCCUUUCAUAUAGUAUUUGCAUAAAACUUUUAGUCCACAAAAUUUUCUAGAAAUUCCUUGACCACAUAUUUACAUGAGAUUUUUAGACCACACAUUUAAACAAGAUAUGUUCUUAAAAUAGUUUAGAUAGACUUUAUAAAAACCACAUAAUCUUCUUGACACAAUAAAACAUUUAUCACCACAUAUUUUACUUAGAUAUUUAUAAAGAUUUUUUCUAGAUAAUAUUUCUAGAAAUGCUAGGCAUGUUGGGCUUUUUAAUUGAUUUGGGCCUAAGAGCAAAAUCCUUAAGCUCUAUUAUUUAGUCCAAAAAUCAAGUCUACGACUCAACAGAUACUGGCAGCUUCAAAGGGUUUUUGAUUUUUUAAAUUUUUUUGUAUUGCUAAAUCAUUGGCAAAAAAGAGGGGGGCAACCACCCUUUAGAAAUUCUCAUUUCUCUGUUUUGCCUCCUAACAAGUUGGGGCGUUUGAAGGAAACCCUAGUUGAUACUCUACAAAAUCCCCGAUUUAUGCUAAGGGCUGGAAAGCCCAAUGGAUUAAAGCAUGUUUUUCACACAAAUAACCUGAUACUACCUUCCAAGUUUGGUCAGAAGAUGAUGGCUUAUCCUUAUAGAAAGUACUGAAACACAAGAUUAAAUUGGUGCAAGGGGCUGAUGAACACCACCCUUUUUCCCUCUCCUUCAAAGGAAUCUGUUGCCAAUUUUUAGUGCAAUACCAAGGAAGAAAGACCUAAGCUGCUUGUCCACUUCUAUAGCUCUGUGCGCUUGUGGAGGACACCAAAAAUUUUGGCUUUAAUUGGGCUAUACAUGGCUUAUGAGCAAACAUCACAAAUUCAUAAGCCAUUCUUUCAGCCGGCAAAACACAAUUACAUACUGAAAAAUGAUUCAAUUAACUGCUGGGAAAAAAGGCCUGUUGAUAGGUUAAUUUUGUGAAAUCAUUGGCAAAAAGAGAGGACAACCACCCUUCAGAAAUAUCCCAUCUCUCUUUUGCCCCAUUCUUCAAUUCUUCAAUUAGGUUUUUGCAAAGAAAGCUUAGAGCAUGUUUGGUAAAAGCUUAUAAAGUUCACUUGCAAGCAAAAAUAAGCAAGUGUUAAACCUGUGUUAGGCUCAGAUCUAACAAUACAAGCAUAGAGAACGAGACACCACCUUGGCCGCAAAAGCCCAGUUGCAUAUGCAAGGAAAAGAGAACGCCGUCAAUCUCCCUCCUUGCAAAGCCAUCAAGUUUUGCCCUGCCAAGAUACAGGUCUCAUUUCCCCAUGCCCGACCCAACUCAAAAGAAAAUAAUCCUCAUAGCCAACAAACAGUAAUUAAAUUAAAGUCAAUGACCGCUAGUGAAAUUUACUCUUUCUCCAAUUAUGUACACACACAGAGUAACGCACAGAAAACAGGUAUACAUACUUGAUGCGUAAAAGGGCUGCUGAUUUUUUGUGAAUGGUGAAAUCAUUGGCAAAAAGAGAUGGUCAACCACACUUCAGAAUUUUCCAUCUGUGUUUCGCCUCUUUCUCAGUUGGGACUUUUGAAGGAAACCGUAGUUGCUGCUCAACAAAGACCCCAAUUUAUGCUGAGGGCAGGCAAGCCCAUCAGGUUUAAAGCAUGUUUUUACACAAAUAAACCUGAUACUACCUUCCAAGUUUGGUGGUGAUUAAGUUGUAUAGAAAUCACUGCAACACAAGAUUAAUUGGUGGCAAGAGGGUGAUGAACUCGUCUCCCUUCAUCCCUCUCCUUCACGGUAAAUUGUUGCCGAUUUUUAGUGCAAUACCCAGGAAGUAAACCUUUAGCCUCUCGUUCCCUUCUAUAGCUCUAUGCACAAGAAGAUUUGGCUUUUAAUUGGGCUAUACAUGGCUUAUGAGCGAAUACCACAACAUUACUUUUACUUUUAAGCCAUUCUUUCUGCCGGAAAACACAGUCACAUACUGAGAAAUGAUUCGGUUGACAACUGCUGUCAAAGGUUAAAUUUGUGAAAUCAUUGGCCAAAAGAGAGAGCAACCACCCUUUAGAAAUACCCCAUCUCUCUCUUGCAUCAAUCUUGAGUUAGAAUUUUGCAAGACUUGGAGAAUGUUUAGGAAAGCUUAUAAAGUUCACUUAUAAGUGUUAGGCUCAGAUCUGAAAAUACUAGCACACCAUGGCUGCAAAAGCCCAGUUGCAAAUGCAAGAGAAAAGGAGAACGCAAACAAUCUCCCUAAUGAGAUAGUAAAAGCCGUCCAAUGAAUAGAAUCUUCUGCCAUUUUUAUUUACCAAAAUCCAGAUUUAAAAUAAAAUUUAGAAAAUAUCUUGUUAUUUUAUAUUUUAUUUAUUAACAUAUCUUUAUCUGGUAUCUUAUAUUCAUCUUCUACAGUGUUAUCAUUUAAUCUUUUAUAGUUUAUAACAAUUUUUGCUUUUCUUCUUUUUAUUUCACUAUGAUUCCUAACCAUAAAGGCUGAUGAUCUGUGCUAACUACUAGACAGUUUUAUUACUUUUAAAUCUAAUAAUUCUUUAAUCUGUACGUUAAAAUCUUCUAUAUCUUGAUUCGUAUGUUUUAUUUCUACUGUUCUAGUUUUUAUAUUUUCAUUUAUUAUUUCUAAUUUAGUUUUUAUUUUAUUUUUAUCCCAAUGUUUUAUAGGGUCUUCUCCUAUUAUUUGAAUUUUUUUAGCUAAUUUUAAAAUUUUGUCUAUACUAUUUAUUUUAGAAGAUGUUUUGAAAUCUGUUUUUAAAGUUUGUAAAGAUAAAUUAUCUAAAAAUUCUAAAUUUUCUUCAAGUUCUGGGUCCGAUUCUGGUUGUAAGGUUCCACCACGCUUAGCUCACAACUCUGAUAAUUCUAUAGUAUUAAUAAUAGAAAUGUCUUUUCCAGAAAUUAUGACAUCAGUAGUAAUUGUUAAACUUCCAUUUCUACUUAACAAGAAUUUUAUACCUAUAACAAAUUUAUCUUUUAUCAAUACGCUAACUAAUAUAGUCGUUAAACUAUACUAUUUUUCUUAGAAUUUAAUCUUAUAAUCAUCAAAAAGUUUUUCUUUGAAUCCCAUUUUACUACCAUCCAUUGUACUUCCUCUUCUUUCAUAUUCUAAUUUCUGUUUGCAAUCUUCUGGCACUAAAUUUUUUCUUAUUAUAUUAAAUGUACAACCUAUGUCUAUUAAUGCUAUCAAAUUUAAAUUUAUCAUUUUGUUUAUCUAUAUUUCUAUAGGUAUUCUGAUACUUUUUGUCGUCUUUACUUUAGAUAUUUGACAAAUUAUUUCUUCUUAAUUUUCUAUUUCCAAAUAAUUAUUUUCUGUGUAAUUAUCUAUAGACUGUUUUCCUUUUGUUUCUAGAUUUCUGAUCAUAUAUUGUGUUUCUCCUAAUGUUUUGUGGAUUUUAUCUAUUCUAUUAUUUGUAUCUAUUAUUUUAUUUUCUAAUCUUUCUAUACUUUCACUAUAGUCUUUAUUUUUUUUAUUAUUUAUUUCUUGUUUAAUCCCGAAACAAUUAUUGCAUUGAAUUUCUAGACAAAUCUUACACUGAUUUUUAUUUUUAUGUCCCGGGUAUAUUUUACAUAUUUUACAUUUAUCCAUCAUUAAUCUUUGUCCUCUAAUCCAUUCAUGGAUACAUUCUUGCUCUACGUUCAUCAUCUUUAUAUCUAAAAAUGAAAAAUCUAAUUCUUCUAGGCUAUCAUAACUUUCUUCUAGGCUAUCAUAACUGUCUUCAGAAUUACUUAUUAUUUCUAAAUUAUCUAACUUUUUAUCUGUGUAAAUACUAUAUAUUGAGCUACAAGAUUCGUUAUCAGAUAAUUCUAUUAUAUUACAUUGUAUUUCUUUAAUUAUCAUAGAUUUAGCUGUACUUUCUUAUUUUUAUAUUUAUUUGGGCAUUUGUUAACAAAAUGUCUAGAGUCUCCACAAAUAUAACAUCUACAGUCUUUUCUUUUUUAGUUUUUGGUUUUCUAACAUAUCUAUUAAAAUUUGGUUUUUUAUUUUUAUAAUAUGUCUUACUCGAUCUAAUAUUAUUUUUCUUCUUAUUUUGAUAUUGCUUUUUAUAUUUUUGUUUUUUUAUCUUUUUUAUACAAUCUUUCUUUCUUCUUCUAUAAUCAUAUGUCUGUGGUAUAUAUAAAUCUAAACAAAAAGAAUAAUUUAAUUUCUUUAUUUGCUUUCUAGCUACUUCUUCUACACAAUAUUCUUUUAAUUUAUCAGUUAUAAAUUUUAUUGUGGCACUAAUAGUUAUUUUCCUUGUUGGGUUUGACUCUACAUCUUUUUUAAUUUUAUCAUUCCAUGGUGAUGGUAUCUUUCUAUAUAAUCUUUAAAGUAUAGGGUAAUCUAAUGAUAAUCUUGUUGCGCUUGCUAAUCUUUCAAAGUCUAAUAAAAAUGGUUGUAUGCAUUUCAUAUUACAAAUACUUAAUUUUCCUAAUCCUUUUAAAGCUUUAUUUUGUUUAUAAGUGUUAUCUCUACUGGGAUCAAAACCUAUAAUUAAUUCUCUAAUAAAGCUUGUAAAAUUUCUAGGAUUAUCUCCUCCAGCCAUUCUUAAUCUAAUUUCAUCUAGUUUUUUGUCUUUUUGCUGUAACGUAUAUAUCUAAAGCAAUCUUUUCUAAAUAAGUUUCUAAGUAAACCCACAUUUCUUCUACAAUCAUUUGUACAUGUACACUAUUAUAUGCUCUAAUUAUAGAAUUUUCCCAUUUAGUUAUAGAACUAGGUCUGUCUUGUGGUUUACAAUUAUUUAACUCUAGAUUAAUCCUCUAUCGAUUGCUAAUGGUAAACUACAUCCUUCUUCCAUUUGUCCUUUUUCUAAGCUUUUAUACUUUUUAUCAGUACAUUCGAAAUAUCUUGCAGGGGCAUGGGUUCUUUUCUUUUUCCAAAUUUUUGAUAUGUUUCCAUUUAGCUCUUGCUAGAUUUUUCCAUCUUAUUUUCAUGUGUACAUGAAACAUAUCUUUUUCCAUAAUGCUGAUUUAUUAAAGAUUUGCUAAAUAAAUUUCCUUUUUUAUAUAUGUCUAAAGCUUUUACUAAUUUUAGUUUAUUCUAUCUAAACAUUUCUAUUUGUUCUUCUAUAUCUAUCAGAGAUUCUAGUCUUGUUUCGAAUUCUAUUUUUCUACUUAAUGUUCUUAAUAGAGGAUUACCUACUAAUUUACUACUACUAACUACGAUGUGUUUUCCUUUGUCCAUUAUGUAUAGAUCCAAUAAAUUUUUUUUUAAAUCUACUAGGUUCUUUAGUUUUACUAAAUCCAAAUUUUCUAUUUUAUUUAUUAUAUUAUCUAAAUCUUGUCUAUUAUCUGUUGACUUUUUUUCUAAUGCUUUAACUAUGCUUUCCAAUUUUUCUAAGUUAAAGAACUAAAUUGUGUUUCUCCUAUAUUAUUAGAUUUUCUUU